GGCACUUCCGGUCGGACAUGACGCCACAGUGUCAACAUGCAAGAUGGCGGCGCAUCACCGGCAGAACACGGCGGGGCGGCGGAAAGUACAGGUUUCCUAUGUGAUUAGAGAUGAAGUGGAGAAGUACAACCGGAACGGGGUAAAUGCUCUUCAGCUGGACCCAGCAUUAAACAGACUCUUCACGGCAGGGCGGGACUCCAUCAUAAGGAUAUGGAGUGUCAAUCAGCACAAGCAAGACCCUUACAUAGCAUCUAUGGAACAUCACACAGAUUGGGUAAAUGACAUUGUGCUCUGCUGCAAUGGCAAAACAUUGAUAUCUGCUUCUUCAGAUACUACUGUUAAAGUGUGGAAUGCACAUAAGGGAUUUUGCAUGUCAACACUAAGGACGCAUAAGGACUAUGUGAAAGCCUUAGCAUAUGCAAAAGAUAAGGAGCUGGUAGCAUCUGCUGGGCUGGACAGACAGAUAUUCCUCUGGGAUGUAAAUACUCUCACAGCACUGACUGCCUCAAAUAAUACUGUCACAACUUCUUCCCUGAGUGGGAACAAGGACUCAAUCUACAGCCUUGCAAUGAAUCAAAUGGGAACAGUUAUUGUAUCAGGGUCCACUGAAAAGGUUCUAAGGGUGUGGGAUCCAAGGACUUGUGCAAAACUAAUGAAACUCAAAGGGCACACAGACAAUGUCAAAGCUUUGUUGCUGAACAGAGAUGGCACCCAGUGUCUUUCAGGCAGCUCUGAUGGUACAAUCCGCCUGUGGUCCCUUGGGCAGCAGAGGUGCAUAGCCACAUACCGAGUCCAUGAUGAAGGUGUUUGGGCUCUGCAGGUCAAUGAAGCCUUCACUCAUGUUUAUUCAGGAGGAAGAGACAGGAAGAUUUAUUGUACAGAUUUACGAAAUCCUGAUAUCCGGGUGCUGAUCUGUGAAGAAAAGGCACCAGUUCUUAAGAUGGAACUGGAUAGAUCAGCUGACCCUCCUCCUGCACUUUGGGUUGCAACAACUAAAUCCUCUGUGAAUAAAUGGACUUUGAAGGGAAUCCAUAAUUUUAGAGCAUCAGGAGAUUAUGAUAAUGAUUGUACCAAUCCCAUACCACCCUUGUGUACACAGCCUGACCAAGUUAUAAAAGGGGGUGCUAGUAUUAUUCAGUGCCACAUUCUUAAUGACAAGAGGCACAUAUUAACCAAAGACACAAAUAAUAAUGUGGCAUACUGGGAUGUCUUGAAGGCAUGUAAAGUGGAAGACCUGGGAAAAGUAGAUUUUGAAGAGGAAAUUAAGAAGAGAUUUAAAAUGGUUUAUGUGCCAAACUGGUUCUCAGUGGACUUGAAAACCGGGAUGUUGACAAUUACUUUGGAUGAAAGUGACUGCUUUGCAGCCUGGGUGUCAGCAAAGGAUGCUGGAUUUAGCAGUCCUGAUGGUUCUGAUCCAAAAUUAAACCUUGGAGGGCUUCUGCUGCAAGCAUUGCUGGAGUAUUGGCCUAGAACACAUAUAAAUCCAAUGGAUGAAGAAGAAAAUGAGAUAAACCAUGUGAAUGGGGAGCAGGAGAACAGAGUCCAGAAAGGAAAUGGAUACUUCCAAGUGCCACCACAUACACCAGUUAUUUUUGGUGAGGCUGGAGGACGCACUUUGUUCAGGUUGUUAUGUCGGGAUUCAGGGGGUGAAACAGAAUCCAUGCUUCUUAAUGAAACCGUGCCACAAUGGGUAAUUGACAUCACUGUGGAUAAAAAUAUGCCCAAGUUCAAUAAGAUUCCCUUCUACCUCCAACCUCAUUCAUCAUCAGGGGCAAAAACUCUAAAAAAAGACCGGCUGUCAGCCAGUGACAUGCUUCAGGUGAGAAAAGUGAUGGAACACGUGUAUGAGAAAAUCAUCAACUUGGAUAAUGAGUCUCAGACAACGAGCUCCUCCAACAAUGAGAAAGCAGGAGAACAAGAAAAGGAGGAAGACAUUGCUGUGCUAGCAGAGGAGAAGAUUGAACUUCUGUGCCAGGACCAGGUUUUGGACCCCAACAUGGACCUUCGAACUGUAAAGCACUUCAUCUGGAAGAGUGGCGGGGACCUGACGCUUCACUACCGCCAGAAAUCAACGUGAGGGCAGCACGGACCCAGAGCAGUCAUCAUUUACUUGACCUUGCUGUGCUGGUUCCAAGAGUAGUUCUAGAGCAGCCCUCUAAGGAGCUCAUCUACAGCAAGUGUAAAACCUGUCAGCAGGAGAGAUCAGUACCUUCCUUCUCCACCCCAAGCUCCAUUGGGAGUCACAACUACCUCUCGGAUGGAAUCUGCUUCAGUGUUAUAAACCAUCAGCUUCAGUGGCUUCCCCUCAUGGGAUUCAAUCAGGGAAAAGAAAUCCUCUGACUAUGGAAAAAACAGGAAGAAAGUAGUAGUUAAUAAACCCAAAUGUCAAAGUCAACAUUUUACACAGUUAUUUACUCAAUGUCAGACAUUAAAUACCCAGAGACAGAAAAAUCACCAAUGUAGUUUGAUCUUUAGUGGCAACUUAUUUUUAUUGUCAGACCAAAAAGAAAGAUGUUUACCUUAACCAUAAAGUUUCUGUCAUAAACAUCAGCCUUCCACAAUCCCCCCCCACAUGUUUGAUCAGAUUUAUACCAAACCCAAACCCUACAACAAACACUUGGUAGGCACAAAGACAAUCACUCUGUGUUGGAAGGAACAUGCACCCACCUCCUGAAGAAUCUGAUCAGAUCCAACAAUGUAGUCACUGUAUGGCUGGAGACCAGCCAGAGCCGCAGGAGACGAAGGCUCAACGUCCUGUGAAAGAGUGACACGAGUCAUCUGCACCCACAGCAGGGUAAACUACCAUGAACAAAAAGAAGAGCUAACUUCCAGAGCAAGGAAGGAAAGAGCAUGUUGUUAAUGGCAUAAAAAAGAAACUCUUGGAAUAGUCUACAUCUAUGUGUGACAUCCUGUAAAAGAUGCUAAGUAAGAAAGAUGUAAAACAUGGUAAGAAAAUUCUUACUCCUCUGAACAUGUUGAGAAAUUGCAUUUACUUAAGCAACCAGAAACAUAAACAUUCUUUCCUAUUCAGUUCUACUCUUUCAGCUCUUCCUCUUAAUUUUAAAAUAAAUUUGUGGUGCUAUUUGUAAUAUUACUUUAAUGAAGUUUAGCCAAGACAGAGACAAUCAGGCCAGAAUCUUUUUUGCUUUUGCCAUUGAUUCUUCAACAUAAAAUGAAAAAACCCUUCCCACCUAUCCUGUUUGGUCCAGUUGGGAUGGAGUUACUUUUGUCACUGGGAACCCUGACAGCCAACCCACUUCUUGUCCCUACUCAAAUAGCUCAGACAAACCUUCAGGACUGUGUUCCCUUCCUCUGUGUGACUGUGUUGCUGUACUUUACACUAUGGCUAAACAUCACACUGUAAAACAAGGUUACACAACCAAUAAUGAGCCAGCCAAGGAUUCCUCCUCACCAGAACGUGCCACACGUGUUCAUUGGCUCCCUGGAAGCUGCAGAACCUCACGCUGGCUCCAAGGAGGCCUUGUCCUCCCCACAUGUUACUGGGGAUCACCUCCACCUCUCGGAUUUUCAUUGUUUUGAUGUUAUACACCUCCAGCUUCACUGCUUUCUCAGCAUUUGCCUUCAGCAGGUCUUUCAACAUAUUGUUUUCCUUGUUCUGUAGAGCAGAGAUACAGGAUUAACAUUAUUUCCAGUUGCACCUGUAAUAUCUGUGGCAGAAUUUGAAUACAAAGAACCAAAAGUAUGAAAGUUUAGGCUCUGUGGUUCACAAACUAUCCCAGCAAUUUCCAAUUCAAUUUUCUUUUACUAUAAAGCAGUCAGUACUGUCAACACACAUCCCUUUACAUAAAUACUUCCUGUUAUUCCAUUUCAUCACUGGCAUUUCUGUCCUUCACAACUGCUAUUAAAUAAUACCAGCAGUAUCAGAUGUCGACUGCAUUUAACAAUGAGCAGCAACAUUUCACUUCAUGUCUCUGAGCCUCAUCCCUCUUCAACAGCCCUUCAAAGUCACUGCAAACUGACUGUGAAAGAAUAUCUUCAUUUCUGUCAUGUUAGAAGAUUAAUUACCUUCCCCCAAAUCUGCCCUUAUAAUGAUCACUUCUAAAAAAGACAUCUCAUGAAACCAAGACAAAACUUAAUGAAUUCAGCUUGUAUUUGGUUAGGGUGGAGCAUACAAGGUAAAGCCCCAAUCAAAACUCAGAAAAACCCCACCAGACCAAAACUCAGCUCUUCUCUCAUAACACACAGGAACUGUGUUCUUUGUCUUGAAAGUACAAGUAGACAGGCUAUGAUUCUUUUCCGUGUUUUAUCAAAUGUUGAAACUAUUUUGUUUAAACAAAUACUGAGCUCUGACUAUUGACUCACUAGUUCAGUAUUCACAAAUGAGUACAAAUGAGCAACAACAUAAACAUUGUGUUAACCUGUUAAGAAGUUAAGGUGAGUAAAGGCAUAAACAAAAGCUUUCCUUCAAACUUGGAUCCAGCCAAAGCGACUUUGAACACCUUCAAAUUUUACUUUACUUUUAAUGUCCAAUGUGAAAAGUUUCUCUGCUUGUGCCAGUUAUGGCUUUUACCUUUCAUCAUCAUUACAGCACCCACAGUUCAUGGAGGGUGGAAAAAAACACUGAAAUUGUUUGAGACUUACAAGCCUUGUGUGUCCUAUGGCAAUGAUGAAAUCAAAGAAAGGUUCCAGUCCUCCUUGUUGGGCUGGGGAAUUCUCUUGGACCUGCAGAACAUACAUUUUAUCAUUAUUCUACACUGAUCUCCAGUUACAUAAGUGAAGGUGUUAAUCUUUACACUUGAUUCAAUAUUUACUUUUGAGCUGAGCCAGAGAUAAGGCACCCAAUGACUGCCCUCAAUCUUACUUUUAUAAAACUAUGAACAGAUAUCCAAAUGAAGCUGUAAAAGCAGGUUUUGAACCCCAUUUAAGACAUAAAUGUUGUGAUUCAGAGUUCACAGCUUGGAAUUAUUAAAUGCUGAAUACUUUGGAGAAA